rnacentral:rRNA from 1 species
ACCAUGGAGAGUUUGAUCCUGGCUCAGGAUGAACGCUGGCGGUAUGCCUAACACAUGCAAGUCGAACGAAGUCUUCGGACUUAGUGGCGGACGGGUGAGUAACGCGUGAGAAUCUGCCUUGAGGAUGGGGACAACAGUUGGAAACGACUGCUAAUACCCGAUGUGCCGGAAGGUGAAAAUUUUUUGCCUCAAGAGGAGCUCGCGUCUGAUUAGCUAGUUGGUGGGGUAAAAGCUUACCAAGGCGACGAUCAGUAGCUGGUCUGAGAGGAUGAGCAGCCACACUGGGACUGAGACACGGCCCAGACUCCUACGGGAGGCAGCAGUGGGGAAUUUUCCGCAAUGGGCGAAAGCCUGACGGAGCAAUACCGCGUGAGGGAGGAAGGCCUUUGGGUUGUAAACCUCUUUUCUCAGGGAAGAAGAUCUGACGGUACCUGAGGAAUAAGCAUCGGCUAACUCCGUGCCAGCAGCCGCGGUAAUACGGAGGAUGCAAGCGUUAUCCGGAAUUAUUGGGCGUAAAGCGUCCGCAGGUGGUCUUUCAAGUCUGCUGUCAAAGACCAGAGCUUAACUCUGGGCAGGCGGUGGGAACUGAGAGACUAGAGUUCGGGAAGGGGUAGCGGGAAUCCCCAGUGUAGCGGUGAAAAUGCGUAGAUCUUGGGAAAGAACAUCGUUGGCGAAAGGCUGCUACUGGAACCAAAAUUGACCUCAGGGAACAAAACCUUGGGUAACCAAAGGGAAAUAAAAACCCCCCGAAAGCCCCAACUGGAAAACGAAUGGAAACUAAGGGUGUGGGUUGUAUUCCACCCCGAAGCCGGGCCCAUAAACCCAAGCGCGUUAAAAUUUCCCGCCCUGGGGGAAACACCCCCCCC